rnacentral:tRNA from 1 species
AUCUUGGUGGUGUAACGGUAACACACUCGUAUUUGAGAAGUAUUUGUAUUUGAGAAGUCCAGGUUCGAGUCCUGGCGAGGAUA